rnacentral:lncRNA from 1 species
GAGGCUAGAGUUGCCCCCUUGGGGCUCCCUGAGGGACUCCGUCCGUCGGGCGCCCAGCCUGGGGGGAGACGACCAUCAAGCCUCCCAGAAACUCCUCAAAUAUCCAACUCUUUCUCUCCCUAACCUCCUGAAGGAGCAGCUUCUGUUCAACAUCGGUCUGAGCCCCCUGGAUCUCGCCAGUAUUUCAUCUCUCCCCUUUCUUUUUCUUUUUUUUU